rnacentral:lncRNA from 1 species
CUUUCUCAUAUGAGCGGGCUUUUGACUUCAAUACUUCAAUUGUAUUCCCUUAUUCUCCAGGUGGGUGCCUGAUUUCUAUUUCUUUUAUCCUUGUUCUCCAUGUGGACGUCUGAUUUCUUCCUUCCUUUGUCCUUAUUCUCCCGGUGGACGCCUGGUUACUUCUUUUCUUUGUCCUUGUUCUCCAGGUGGACGCCUGAUUUCUUCUUUUAUUUUGUCCUUAUUCUCCAGGUGGACGCCUGAUUUAUAUUUUUCUUUGUCCUUGUUCUCCAGGUGGACGCCUGAUUUCUUCUUCUCUUUUGUCCUUAUUCUCCAGGUGGACGCCUGAUUUUUAUUUUUCUUUG